GGAAUCUUCCACAAUGGGCGAAAGCCUGAUGGAGCAACGCCGCGUGGGUGAAGAAGGUCUUCGGAUCGUAAAACCCUGUUGUUAGAGAAGAAAGUGCGUGAGAGUAACUGUUCACGUUUCGACGGUAUCUAACCAGAAAGCCACGGCUAACUACGUGCCAGCAGCCGCGGUAAUACGUAGGUGGCAAGCGUUAUCCGGAUUUAUUGGGCGUAAAGGGAACGCAGGCGGUCUUUUAAGUCUGAUGUGAAAGCCUUCGGCUUAACCGGAGUAGUGCAUUGGAAACUGGGAGACUUGAGUGCAGAAGAGGAGAGUGGAACUCCAUGUGUAGCGGUGAAAUGCGUAGAUAUAUGGAAGAACACCAGUGGCGAAAGCGGCUCUCUGGUCUGUAACUGACGCUGAGGUUCGAAAGCGUGGGUAGCAAACAGGA
rnacentral:misc_RNA from 1 species